rnacentral:rRNA from 1 species
UACGGGGGGGGGCAAGCGUUGUUCGGAAUUACUGGGCGUAAAGGGCUCGUAGGCGGCCAACUAAGUCGGACGUGAAAGCCCUCGGCUUAACCGAGGAACUGCGUCCGAUACUGGAUGGCUUGAGGUUGGGAGAGGGAUGCGGAAUUCCAGGUGUAGCGGUGGAAUGCGCAGAUAUCAGGAAGAACACCGGUGGCGAAGGCGGUUCUCUGGGCAUGUCCUGACGCUGAGGAGCGAAAGUGUGGGGAGCGAACAGG